rnacentral:rRNA from 1 species
UUCGGGUACCGCCUCGGUUUAAAUUUCUUGGAACAGAAUGUCAAAGAGGGUGAGAAUCCCGUCUUGGACCGGCGGUAGGGCCCAUGUGAAACUCCUUCGACGAGUCGAGUUGUUUGGGAAUGCAGCUCAAAAUGGGUGGUAAAUUUCAUCUAAAGCUAAAUAUUGGCCAGAGACCGAUAGCGCACAAGUAGAGUGAUCGAAAGAUGAAAAGCACUUUGAAAAGAGAGUUAAACAGUAUGUGAAAUUGUUGAAAGGGAAGCGCUUACAACCAGACUUGCGCGCGGCGGUUCCCCCUUCCUUUUGGUUGGGCUACUCCGUCGUGUCCAGGCCAACAUCGGUUCUGGGGGUCGGUUAAAGACCCUGGGAAUGUAUCUACCCUUCGGGCGUAGACUUAUAGCUCAGGGUGUCAUGCGACCUCCCGGGACCGAGGAACGCGCUUCGGCUCGGAUGUUGGCGUAAUGGUUGUCAGCGACCCGUCUUGAAACACGGACCAAGGAGUCUAACAUCUAUGCGAGUGUUUGGGUGUCAAACCCGGAACGCGAAAUGAAAGUGAACGGAGGUAGGAAGCCAUGAGGCUGCACUAUCGACCGAUCCUGAUGUCUUCGGAUGGAUUUGAGUAAGAGCAUAGCUGUUGGGACCCGAAAGAUGGUGAAC